GACAGAGGGUGCAAACGUUGUUCGGAAUUACUGGGCGUAAAGCGCGUGUAGGCGGCUCUGCAAGUCGGAUGUGAAAGCCCACGGCUCAACCGUGGAAGUGCAUUCGAAACUGCAGGGCUAGAGUCCUGGAGAGGAAGGUGGAAUGCUUGGUGUAGAGGUGAAAUUCGUAGAUAUCAAGCGGAACACCGGUGGCGAAGGCGGCCUUCUGGACAGUGACUGACGCUGAGACGGCGAAAGCGUGGGGAGCAAACAGG
rnacentral:rRNA from 1 species